rnacentral:rRNA from 1 species
AUGAGGUGCUACAAGGCACGAAGGAACAAGAAGGGUAAAGGUGUUGCGCCUGUCGUGCCGGAACGAAAGAGAGGUAUCAUUGUCAAGACGGAAUGCCCUGUCCGGUGUAAGCUAAACGUAGAUGGAGCACGGUGGGUGGUCACUGAAUAUUUUGACGAGCACAACCACGAACUCAUAAAGAAGUUUGACCUGGUAAAAUUUUUGAGCGCCCACAGAGGAUUCAGCCCCCUCGAGAAGAAAUUCAUAAAGCUGCUACAUGAUUGUAAUGUCGGUCCAUCAAGAAUGGUCCAGAUACUAUCCAUGAUCCACAGCAAAAAUGGAACUCUGAGUAGCAUGCCCUACAUACCAGCAGACGUCACAAACCUAAAGGCAAAGUACCGUAGAGAGAGUAGGUUGGCUGACAUAGAAGACACGAUAGCCUACUUCGACGAGAAAGCAAAAGCAGAUCCUGAUUUCUUCUACGAGAUAAGAUUGGACGAUGAGGACCGUGUCACGAACAUGUAUUGGGUGGAUGGUGAUGCAAGAAGAGACUACAAACAUUUCUGAGAUUGCAUUUCGUUCGACGCGACAUAUCUCACUAAUAUGUACAAGAUGCCCUGCGCUCCAUUCAUAGGAAUAAAUAACCACAAUCAGUCAUUGCAGUUUGGUUGCGGGCUCGUUCGGAACGAAGAUACGGAUGGGUACACUUGGCUGUUCAAAACCUUCUUGGAGUGCAUGGGUGGACUUGCUCCGAUGAACAUAAUAACAGACCAGGAUUUUAGCAUGCGUGCAGGCAUAGAGGAGGUCUUUCCGUUGGCAGUGCACAGGCACUGCAAGUGGCAUAUUAUAAAGAAGGCUGAGGAGAUGCUAGAGUUUGAACGGAGCUGGACAGCUAUGAUUGAAACAUAUCAAGUCCAAGACAACGAGAUGCUUGCUAGCCUGUGGGAGAAGCGAAUGUACUGGGUGCCGGCCUACUGCAUGCAGUGCUUCUUCCCAUUUCUGCAGACUACGCAGUGCAGCGAGGGGUUCAAUGCUGUUCUGAAGUGGUACGUGAGCCCUAGCAACUCAUUGUUGCAGUUUGCCAAGCAAUACACAGCUUUGCAACAGAAAAUACUGGGAUCUGAGCUACAGCAAGAAGCAAACACCGCGCUCAAGCAGCCUAAAAUGCUAACAUAUUUACCAAUGGUGGACGAACAUACGUUCAAGGGCAUGUCGGAUUCAGAACCUGAAGACCCAGACAAAGGAAGGAACUACUUUGUGAAGGCCUCGAUAAACGAAGGCGAAUACUACUGCCAAUGCUGCAAAUUCGAACGGGACAGGAAUGUGUGUUGUCACAUACUAAAAGUAAUGGGCAUGAACGCGGUCACGCGAAUGCCCCGCCAUUUCAUACGGUGGCGAUGGACUUGGGACGCUGACGACACGUUGGAGCCACAAACAUCAAAUGCAGUUUUGGCUGUGCAUGAUGAGAGACCAGAGGCAACCAUGGAAGCCGUGAGGCACGUUGUGUUGACCAAGAACUAUGCUGAACUAAUAGAUGAAGCAUGCAAGAGUGAUGAGACAGCGAGGGUGGCAAAAAAACACAGGAAGGCCCUGAAAAGAGAGCUUGAUGAGAUCAAAAAGAGGAAAGCUAAAGAAGCCUUACACAGGUUCCCCCGCACCUCAAGUGUGCCUUCGUCCACGGGGCCAUCAUCUGAAAACUCGGAGGUAGGGUCUAGAACAGCAAGCACACAAACCCAGGUUAGGAACCCGCCCCGUUCCAUCACAAAAGGGCGUCCAAAAGAGGUGAGAUACAAGUCGGGGUUGGAGAUUCAAGCAAAACACAAGAAAACAAAGAAAGGGACGGGCAAUCCGUAA